UUCAUUUAUGUGCAUCCUUUUGUAUGUCCAUAUGUAUAAAUUUAAUGUCUAUGCAUGUUGAGAAAUUGUCAAGUUUAUUUUUGAAGGAAUGUGAAAAAAAGAAGUGCCAAUAAUUGCAAAGACACCAUUCUAGAAGAAAACCAACAUGGGAGAAUUUGCUCUGCAGGAUAACAAGACUUAUUACAGCACUACACAAUAGAAAUGGAGUUUUUUGUAUCAAGAAUAGAACACUGCCUGUAGAAAUGUAUAAGGUGUGCAAAACUGCAAUCGAGGAGGUCCAGUUCCAGCUCCAACAUAUAAAGAGCAUGAAAGUCAUCACUCUCAUCCUCACAAAAAGAAAAAAGCUGAACAAACUGAAAUCAAUGAUCUUUGCUGACUCAACAGAAAACUGAGGUGGCAGGGCAAACAACCUCUGCAGGGAUGCAUGAGUGCAGAGAAACACAGCUGAGUUCUCCUUAUGUGGAGCAGAACAUGCUGGAGCAACCAACAGGCAGCAACACUGAAACAGCAAUUUGGAUGAAAUUCCAGAGGCUGGGAGACUGAGUGUGAUCAUGAGAACAUGGGAACAUGAAAGUGAGAAAUUCCUACAAGCAGCAAUCUUAGCCCCCCUCUCCUGCACUUUCACGGGUCUUAGCUCCAGGAACCCCAACCCAAGCUCAUAAUGAAGAUCCAAAAAUGAUCCUUCAUGGUUCUGGUAGGGGGAUGGAAAGCAACCAUUGCAAGCUACGCCCAGAACAUUCUCCCUAAGAGGGCUGACUCCCCAGGACAAAAGACUACCAGAGACUCCUGCCACUUGGGAGAAAGGAAUUCCUCCUACUUGAGCCUCUUCUAGCCUUCAUGUCUCACCUAAGAGUCUGUUUCCAGCAUAACAGUCUGGUGUCAGAAGAAUGGGAUUCCAUGCAGAUGGCAGGAAGAUGCAGGGAUAGCAGCUCUGAGAAGAGAGCGGUACCAGCAGGAAUCCACUGAGUUCCAUCUCUUCUGGGUUCAUCAUCUGGCUACAUUGGCUGGCCGCUCUCAGAUCUUUGAACCCUGCUCUGUUGUGGUUGAGAUCAAAUCCUUGAACUGUCAAGACUUUGAAACUGUCACUCCACUGGCUUUCUCAUGAUGAAGAAAACUGCUGCCAGUCUGCCUCCACUUCAUGGAUCAACUGUCCGUUCCCCCUGAUGGCUUUGAAGAUAAAGAGGGAAUACUCCAUGCUCUCCAUUCUCAGUAUGAAGUCUCCAGAUGUGGGCUUAUUUUUCUUAAACCUUUUCCAUAUUUAUGGUCCACUUUUCAUCUGAAUAUUCUUCUCUUCUGAAAAAUUCUCAACCACCACAGAUUAAAUGAUCUAGCCCAUCCUUCUGGAAUUUUUAUUAAAUAUAUGUUGAAAGUUCCAAAUUGGUUCUCCAUGACCCAACUAUACUCUAUCUACUUGUCCUUCUGUGUCACAAUCUGAA